rnacentral:rRNA from 1 species
UACGGAGGGUGCGAGCGUUGUCCGGAAUCACUGGGCGUAAAGGGCGCGUAGGCGGCAGGCCAAGCGUGCGGUGAAAGUCCGGGGCUCAACCCCGGAUCUGCCGUGCGGACUGGUUUGCUAGAGCACUGUAGAGGCGAGUGGAAUUCCGGGUGUAGCGGUGGAAUGCGUAGAGAUCCGGAGGAACACCGGUGGCGAAGGCGGCUCGCUGGGCAGUGGCUGACGCUGAGGCGCGACAGCGUGGGGAGCAAACAGG